rnacentral:rRNA from 1 species
UACAGAGGGUGCAAGCGUUAAUCGGAAUUACUGGGCGUAAAGGGCGCGUAGGCGGUUGAUUAAGUUAGAUGUGAAAUCCCUGGGCUUAACCUAGGAACUGCAUCUGAUACUGGUCAGCUAGAGUGCGGUAGAGGGUAGUGGAAUUUCCGGUGUAGCGGUGAAAUGCGUAGAUAUCGGAAGGAACACCAGUGGCGAAGGCGGCUACCUGGGCCGAUACUGACACUGAGAAGCGAAAGCGUGGGGAGCGAACAGG